rnacentral:rRNA from 1 species
AUUGAACGCUGGCGGCAUGCCUUACACAUGCAAGUCGAACGGCAGCACGGGAGCAAUCCUGGUGGCGAGUGGCGAACGGGUGAGUAAUAUAUCGGAACGUGCCCAGUCGUGGGGGAUAACGCAGCGAAAGCUGUGCUAAUACCGCAUACGAUCUACGGAUGAAAGCGGGGGAUCGCAAGACCUCGCGCGAUUGGAGCGGCCGAUAUCAGAUUAGCUAGUUGGUGGGGUAAAGGCCCACCAAGGCGACGAUCUGUAGCUGGUCUGAGAGGACGACCAGCCACACUGGAACUGAGACACGGUCCAGACUCCUACGGGAGGCAGCAGUGGGGAAUUUUGGACAAUGGGCGCAAGCCUGAUCCAGCAAUGCCGCGUGCAGGAUGAAGGCCUUCGGGUUGUAAACUGCUUUUGUACGGAACGAAACGGCUCCUUCUAAUACAAGGGGCUAAUGACGGUACCGUAAGAAUAAGCACCGGCUAACUACGUGCCAGCCGCCGCCGUAAGAC